AAGGAUGAGAAAGUGUCUUAGUAAUGCCGGCUCCAGAGAAUUGGAGUUUGGAAGCCAGAGGAGCCGGGUCCGCGGUGUGUCUGCGUUCUAGAGUCGUUUCCAUUCAUUCUUCGGCGUUCCCUGACCCGCGCCAGUCGGAGUGUCAGCCUCCGGGGAAAAUGGCACCGAAAGAGAGGAAGUGAAUCCUUAAGGUAAAAAAAAGGAAUCAGAUUCACACCUGCCUACCUGGAAAAUAAGUUACACUGCCCUAUACAGACACAGUGGCUUACCUCCAUGGGACUUUAGAGGUGUCAGGAAUCUUAGGUAUUAGUCUGAUCUGAGGGGUGCCCUCUCCGUCCCAGCAUCAUACUCCUAUUUUACAGAUGGAGAAAUAGGCCGAGGAAGGAGUUAGUCCAAGGUCAUACAAAGAAGUUGGUGGUAAUCUAGGUCUGGCUCCCAUUCAAUCCACUAUUUUAAUAAUGCCUUGAAAGAAUUGUGUAAAUAAAUUCAGACGUGAGGCAACAAUAAUAAAAAUAAUGGGUACCAA